AUGAAAGCAAUCUUUCAGGUUUUGAUUUUCGUUAGUGAUGAUGAUUGCAGAGGAAUAUUGAAGAAUUCUUGUGAUGAAGUUGUGAUGGUGGUUGGAGGCAAGUAUCUGAGGGAGAUGAAGAUUGAAUUGAGAUGCAGGUUGAUGGAGAGUGAAGGGAUGCACAUUGAUGUUAUCUUAAGGAAGCUAAAAGUCAUGAAGUAUGGUCUAAUUAAUAUGUGUCAAGGCCAAGGCAUUGGUACCGGAUAUCAUGGCAUUGAAGAACGUUUUCUAUGA